AUCUAAUCUCUUGAGUUUUUGGGGUUUUUUUUUGUUUUUUUGUUUAUCAGUGGUUUUCUUUUUUUACUUUGAUUUUUGGUGAAAUCAUCUGCAGAUUUGAGAAGAAAGGUUUCUCCUUGAAGGGAUUGAAGCUUAUUAGUGUUGAACGUGCUUUUGCUGAGAAGCAUUACGAGGAUCUCUCCUCAAAGCCAUUCUUCAGUGGAUUGGUUGAUUACAUUAUUUCUGGCCCUGUUGUUGCUAUGGUUUGAGAGGGAAAGAGUGUUGUUUCUACUUGCCGUAAUAUCAUCGGAGCCACCAACCCAGCAGCCUCUACUCCUGGUACCAUCCGUGGUGAUUAUGCUGUCGAAAUUGGCAGAAUUCAGAGAAUUAG